rnacentral:lncRNA from 1 species
AGCAAAUGAAAUCUCAAUGGGAAAAAGACUAGGUUCAGAUUGUCUCCACACUCGGAUACAAUUCUAGCUCCUAAACUCUCUUGCAGAUGAAACCUCAGUGGGAAAAAGACUUAAGUUCAUAUUGUCUCCACACUCAGAUACAAUUCUAGCUCCUCAACCAACACCAGCAUCUUGACCCGCACACAUAGUUCCUCAGCCAUCUCGAGCUUCUCAUGCACGAGCCCCUAAUCCCAUCAAAGGCUAGCACCUUGGCAACACACAUUAAGAGUUCAGGAGAAAAUGAAGAAGAGGAGAUAUGUUAGGGCAAAGCUCAAGAGGCAUACAAGUGACUUUGGAUGACAAGCUUCCAAUAAUAGCCAAGUAGUAUGCAAAGUUAAAGGUGAUCUCUAACAAAUUACAUGGGCGUAUUUUACUAGCAAGUAGCAACAAUAAUGGUAUGCUUUGUAGUAGGAUUAAUGAUAUUGAAGACAUUGAUACCUUGAUUUUCAUGCACCACCACUUAGGAGGUAUCUUUUGCACAUGUAAUUAAGCAACUAAAUAUCUUCUAAGAUAUUUUGUUUUUGCAAUU